rnacentral:rRNA from 1 species
UACGUAGGGGGCAAGCGUUGUCCGGAUUUAUUGGGCGUAAAGAGCGUGUAGGCGGCUUGGCAAGUCCGCUGUGAAAACUCGAGGCUUAACCUCGAGACGUCGGUGGAAACUGCCUGGCUAGAGUCCGGAAGAGGAGAGUGGAAUUCCGUGGUGUAGCGGUGAAAUGCGCAGAUAUCAGGAAGAACACCCGUGGCUAAGGCGGCUCUCUAGUACGGUACUGACGCUGAGACGCGAAAGCGUGGGGAGCGAACAGG